AAAAGUUGGAAAUUAAUAAUAAAUUCUAAAGAGGUUUUUAAAAAAAAAAAAAAUAAAUAAUUUUUAUUAUUAUUCUGCUUAAGAGAUCCAAUGUUUGAAUUCAGCAUCGGUACUGCGGCAGAGCAAAAUCUUUAUUUGCACAAGGCAAUGGGAUAUUAAUUUUAAUGUUCAACAUCGUAAGCAGAAUAGCCAGUUAGAGGAGUCCUCUGAGAAAGAAUAAAUCCUGGCUUCACA